rnacentral:rRNA from 1 species
UACGAAGGGUGCAAGCGUUACUCGGAAUUACUGGGCGUAAAGCGUGCGUAGGUGGUUUGUUAAGUCUGAUGUGAAAGCCCUGGGCUCAACCUGGGAAUGGCAUUUGAUACUCGAAGGCUUGAGUACGGGAGAGGAGAGUGGAAUUCCCAGUGUAGAGGUGAAAUUCGUAGAUAUUGGGAAGAACACCGGUGGCGAAGGCGGCUCUCUGGACCGUAACUGACGCUGAGGCGCGAAAGUGUGGGGAGCAAACAGG